UACGUAGGGUGCAAGCGUUAAUCGGAAUUACUGGGCGUAAAGCGUGCGCAGGCGGUUUUGUAAGUCUGACGUGAAAUCCCCGGGCUCAACCUGGGAAUUGCGUUGGAGACUGCAAGGCUAGAAUCUGGCAGAGGGGGGUAGAAUUCCACGUGUAGCAGUGAAAUGCGUAGAGAUGUGGAGGAACACCGAUGGCGAAGGAAGCCCCCUGGGUCAAGAUUGACGCUCAUGCACGAAAGCGUGGGGAGCAAACAGG
rnacentral:rRNA from 1 species